CCUCUACAAGAGGAAGAAAUUAUUUCCUAUCUGCUCAUAGGGCUUGGAUUUUAUUAUGAUCCAUUAGUGACUUCCAUUAUUGCAAGAUCUGGUACAAUCACACUUGGAGAAGUAUAUUCUCUAAUGCUCAAGUAUGAAUU